rfam:Felis catus isolate Cinnamon breed Abyssinian chromosome X, whole genome shotgun sequence.
GCCUGGGUGGCUCAGUCGGUUAAGCGUCCGACUUCAGCUCAGGUCACGAUCUCGCGGUCCGUGGGUUCGAGCCCCACGUCGGGCU